AAGACCACACAGAUCCUAAUUUAGAAAGGCUUUGUUUGUUGAUUGGCAAUUGAACAUUGAGUGAGACAAUUGGGUCUUUAUAGCCGAGGGAGAGGAUUGAGGGGCGGUAUAAAUCGCAGCUUUGAUUAGGCGGCGAUUAAUACUCAGAUAUCUAACGUAUACUUCAAGCAAGGAAAGCAGAGCAAAAAUCUUUUCCAAGUUUGAGAAAAUCAAGAGUUGUGAGAGAGAAAGAGAGGAGAGGCCGUUAAGCUUCUGGUCCUUUUUAUUAGGGUAGUGAGUAGUUCAUCAUUGCAUAGGCUCGAGUAGUGGUGUGGUGCCUUUAAAUACAUGAUU
rnacentral:lncRNA from 1 species